GGGGCGCCCCAAGUAGGAGGAAUCCUACUUGGGGUCCUCCCGAAUUCGCGCCCCCUUCCUUAUUAACAGGAUGGGAAAGGAAAGAGAGGGGGAAGGGAAGGAAGGGGGAGGGUGAAUCCUCCCCUUCCCUU
rnacentral:sRNA from 1 species